UACGAAGGGGGCUAGCGUUGUUCGGAUUUACUGGGCGUAAAGCGCACGUAGGCGGAUCUUUAAGUCAGGGGUGAAAUCCCAAGGCUCAACCUUGGAACUGCCUUUGAUACUGGGGAUCUCGAGUUCGGGAGAGGUGAGUGGAACUGCGAGUGUAGAGGUGAAAUUCGUAGAUAUUCGCAAGAACACCAGUGGCGAAGGCGGCUCACUGGCCCGAUACUGACGCUGAGGUGCGAAAGCGUGGGGAGCAAACAGG
rnacentral:rRNA from 1 species